ACUCCUACGGGAGGCAGCAGUGGGGAAUAUUGCACAAUGGGCGAAAGCCUGAUGCAGCAACGCCGCGUGAGUGAUGAAGGCCUUCGGGUUGUAAAGCUCUGUCUUUUGGGACGAUAAUGACGGUACCAAAGGAGGAAGCCACGGCUAACUACGUGCCAGCAGCCGCGGUAAU
rnacentral:rRNA from 1 species